UGGGUCAUCACCAGCCCUGCUGUUCUCCGCACCUGCUGAGCUGGGUCCCGGAGCCUAGGAGUGAAAUCUCAAGUCACUGGCACUAAUGGAAUGUGUCUGGGGAAAGGCAAGUUCUGUAAAACCAUUCCUACAGCGGUCAAAUGUGUCUAUAAAGAGGAAGCACACCUUAAUUAAACAGGAAAAGAACUAGGACUCUAGUUUUACUUCUAAGUUGCCAAAUGUGAACUGGCAAAUUCAAAGUGGAACAAGCAGCAUUAUUUUCAAGUUGCUAAAGCAUAUUCCUACAUCUCUGAACUCAUCCUCACAGAAGCACGUCAUUUGCUGCAUACAAUCAAUAAACGGAUCAUGGGGACAAUGGUUCAAGGUCACAGAGGUCAGACCUAAUUCCACUGCUGCAAGAUACUCUGUGUCUUAUUUGUCUGCAAGACACCACUGCCUCUAGUGGAAAGAACACAAGGUCCCCAUAAGGUGGCAGGCCCAGCAACCACGGCUGAUGGGAAAGGGGUCUUCUGCUCCUGCUCUUCCCGAAGAACCCGGCGCCGACAGAGCUCCCCGCUCACUGCCUGUUCCAAG